AUGGGUCUUCCUGAGUUCACAAAUGCCCCAUUGAAGAAACAUCGUAGCUGGCGUCCUCGGAGCCCCAAGGAGGAAGAUAGCAGAGAGGUCCUUCAAUUGAUGGGCAGGAUAAAAACGCUUGCCAAAUCUGGAUUGACAGUAAUCGAGGUUAUGUCAAUAUGCAUAAUGCGGGGGGUGGAACCACUCCAUUAUCGGGGGCGUCCCAUGUGGCACUUCAAUGGAGAAGACGAUGCCACCCGCUGCAGUCGGAAAGGUCCAGACUCCACCAUCGCUCUAGCAAAAGUACUCUCCGAUUUAUAUAAUGGAGAAGAAGAGGAGUUCAUCCACAUUAAGCCACGGGAUGGAUUUUCCAUGUAUAACCCCCCUAGCUAG
rnacentral:rRNA from 1 species